GCAACAAUAAUGCUCCUCACAGAGUUCAGCUCCAUUUGUAUUUCAUCCAAAUGAAAGAAGAAAAUCGGGUAGGGGUGAAAUCUACGAAGUGAAGCAUAAAUAAGGUGGUGUCAGUGAAAGCAGCGCAUAUUCCAGUUCAACCGAGUACCACAAAUCACAUCAUGGAAGGAGGCAGAAGAGUCCAAUGGAGGGGCACUCGGUUUGGAGGUCCUCUUCCAAAGCCAAGAGGCUUGAUGGAGAUUGUCAAAGAACUCUGCAGGCUUGAUCCAUUACAAAUUCAUGCUUCCCAUCCUCAACUGGCUGCUUGGUAUUUUUUUUUUUUUUUUUUGUGAUUCCUUAACACAUAUUCCACAGCAACAAUUUCAAGCAUUUCCUAAUCUUAUUAAUGCCCUAAUGUCAUAAAAAAAAUGCAGAACCUCGAGUUAGAAGGGAUCUCAGAGGUCACCUGAACAAAUAUCUUCAUCCAACAUCCAUCCAAACAGGAAUCUUCUCCACAAUAUCCCUGACAUGCGGUCAUCCAGUCUUGCUUUGAAAAUGCCCAAUGGUGAGGAACUCACCAUGUGCUAAGGAAGCUCAUUUCACUUUGGAGUAGCUUUUGGGGAAGUUUUUCUUUACAUUAAAUGUAAGUCUACUUCCUUACAAAUGCCAUAGUCCUGACCACUAUGUCUGAGGCCAAAUGGAAGAAGUUUAAUGCUUCUUCUAAAUGACCCUUUUUCAAAUGCUUGAAAACAGCUAUCAAGUCCCUCGAGUCUUCCCAAAGGCUCAGUGUGUAUGUAUGUGUCGCCUCAAUGCCCGUAUUGGCAUUUCACCCCAAAGUGAAAUAAUCCCAGUUUUACCAACCAAACCUCACAUGGCAUAGUUUUGAGUGCUCCUCCCCCCAUAAUCUUGGUCAUCCUCCUCUAGACGUGCUCCAGCUUGUCAACGUCCACUCUGAAAUGUGAUGUCCAGAGACAAAUAGAAAAUUUCAGACGCAACCCAAAUACAGCAGAGUACAAUGGAAC
rnacentral:lncRNA from 1 species